GACGAACGCUGGCGGCGUGCUUAACACAUGCAAGUCGAACGGAAAGGCCCUGCUUUUGUGGGGUGCUCGAGUGGCGAACGGGUGAGUAACACGUGAGUAACCUGCCCUUGACUUUGGGAUAACUUCAGGAAACUGGGGCUCAUACCGGAUAGGAGCUCCUGCUGCAUGGUGGGGGUUGGUAAGUUUCGGCGGUUGGGGAUGGACUCGCGGCUUAUCAGCUUGUUGGUGGGGUAGUGGCUUACCAAGGCUUUGACGGGUAGCCGGCCUGAGAGGGUGACCGGCCACAUUGGGACUGAGAUACGGCCCAGACUCCUACGGGAGGCAGCAGUGGGGAAUAUUGCACAAUGGGCGGAAGCCUGAUGCAGCAACUCCGCGUGCGGGAUGACGGCCUUCGGGUUGUAAACCGCUUUCGCCUAUGACGAAGCGUGAGUGACGGUAAUGGGUAAAGAAGCACCGGCUAACUACGUG
rnacentral:rRNA from 1 species